AUGCCUGCUGUGGGAGCCACCUCCUCCAACUGACACCGCCUGACCCCAGCUUCCAGCUCACUCCCCGCUCUGUGAAGGAAGCAGCUCCAGUUGUUGCUAGCCCCGAGUCUUCAGUGAAUGAGGGCCAUCAUCAUCUUCUAAUGGAAGAGUCACAGGCUAAGAUCCCUCUCACAUGUGAGAAAAAUGCAAGCUGCUAUGGAUUGAAUUGUUUCUACUCAAGAAUUAUAUGUUAAUGAACCUCAGAUUGUGACCUUGUUUGGAGGCAGGGUCAUAACAGAGGUAAUCAAGUUAAAAUGAGGUCAUCAGAGCGGGCCCUAAUCUAAUAUGAUAGAUGUCCACAUCAGAAGGGGAAAUUUGGACACAGAGACACACACACAGGGAGUACACCACAUGAAGAUGAAGGCAGAGAUUGAGUGAUACAUCGUCAAGCUAAGGAACACGAAAGGCUGCCAGCAAACCACAAGGAGCAAGGGGUGAGGCGUGGAGCAGAUUCUCUC
rnacentral:lncRNA from 1 species